AUUCGCUGGAUGAGUGUGGGGCAUUGGAUUGAGUUCAUUCAAUUUGAGCCCUACAUUCAUCAAGGGAUUCGU
rfam:Nicotiana attenuata strain TT chromosome 4, whole genome shotgun sequence.